CCGUGCUCCGCGCCCGGGGCUCCCGCCUCGCCGGCCUCCAGCUUCGCCCCUGCCACCGGCCCAUUCCGAAUUUCCGCCUCUAUCUUCACCAAUUUCCACCGGCUCGUCUGAAUUGCCGCCUCUAGCUUCACCAAUUCCCACGGGGUUUUACAUUUUCGCCUCUAUCUUCACCAAUUUCCACCGGCUCUUUCCAAAAUUUCGCCUCUAUCUUCACCAAUUUCCACCGGCUCUUUCCAAAUUUUCACCUCUAGCUUCACCAAUUUCCACUGGCUCUUUCCAAAUUUUCGCAGCUAGCUUCACCAAUUUCCACUGGCUUUUCUAUGUUUUCGCCUCACCAAUAUCCACCGGCUCCUCGCGAUCCUGCCUCUGCCUCUGCGUCCGCCUGCCGCCUCCUCAGGCAAAGAAAGUCCUUUCCCAGCUACGUUUUUUUAUAUAUGUAUAGACAUUCUACAAGCUUUGCAACCGGGUGCAGGUGCCCUGAUGCCUAUAGAAGCACAGCUGUACAUAUAUAUAUUUUAAUCUUCCUCUUUAAGCCUCUGACCUCCCCUUCUCUCUUCUUCGAUCCUCUUCUAAGUUGCCUUCUGCCUUCUAGCAGUAAAAUCCUUCUCUCUUCUAAGCAGCCUCUCGCCAAGAAAAACCUUCCCUUCCUUCGGCUUUCCCACCUCCCGUGAGGCUCCUCAGCGGUUCCCUCCACCAACCCCAACUCGCCUUUUCCUAAUCACGGCCUCCGCUUCYCCUCGCCUCGCUCCCCUGCGCCAAGCGGCCCCUCCGCUGCCACCAACCCCCCAAACCGGGCUGGUUCYGCGCCGCCGCGUCCCGACCCGGCGUGAAGCCGAGCCCGGGGCCAAAAUCGCUCUUCAACAUCCUGGUUUUUCCCCCUUGAUCCUCUUUUACAGAAUUUAUCUUCGAUUCUAAGCUUGUCUUGUUCGCUUCUAAAUACCUCUUCCCUUAUACGCUUGGGUUUUCUUUUCUUCAAAAUUUAUUUUCUCUUUUCUAUUAAUCUUCCUUUCUUUCACAUCAUCUUCUAUCUUUCUUUCCGGUAAGAUUUAGCAUUUUAUCUCAACCGCUAUCUUUUCUCUUUUUGUUUCGGCUUCCUCUCUUCCAAGGGUUAAAAAACCGCCUUCCGCAGGCUUGUGAAAAGCCCCGUUUCCUGUGAUCCUKUCCCCAAACCUCGGCUCGCCCCCCCGCACCUAGCGCGUCCCGCUCCUCGCUCCCUGCCGCUCGCCUCUUCCAGCUGCCUCGCAUGCUCUUUUUAAUCUUCGGUUUAAAAAUCUUCUGUUUUCCUCCGCUAAUUAAUCGCUUUCUUUUUUUUUUUAAGAGCGAACCCUAGU
rnacentral:lncRNA from 1 species